UACGUAGGGUGCAAGCGUUAAUCGGAAUUACUGGGCGUAAAGGGUUCGUAGGUGGUUAAUUAAGUUAUCUGUAAAAUCCCUGGGCUCAACCUGGGCAGGUCAGAUAAUACUGGUUAACUCGAGUAUGGGAGAGGGUAGUGGAAUUUCCGGUGUAGCGGUGAAAUGCGUAGAUAUCUGGAGGAACACCGGUGGCGAAGGCGGCAUCCUGGACCGAUACUGACGCUGAGGAGCGAAAGCCAGGGGAGCAACGGG
rnacentral:rRNA from 1 species